rnacentral:lncRNA from 1 species
GGCUCUAGAAAAGUAAAGAAGCGAAAUUAAUUUUUCUUACCUUGGUGCGGCAUAAAGAAGAGAAACAAAAACGACGAUCAACUCUUCCAAAGGGUAAGCACAUAAGAAAACUAGGGGAGGGGUUUAGAAUAUCCUUUAGCCUUUUCUCUCUUUCUUGCUGGGAUAAAAAAUUCCUCUCCAAAGUUGGUUUCACUUGGUUUCCCUUUCCAAGAAGACUCUAUAUUUAAGUUAAAGUAGAAUAUCUACAUCAAAUUGAAAAAUAACUAUCUGCUCACCUAUGCACCUUGGGAUUUCUACACCUACUCCCCUUUACUGCAUGCAACCUAGCAUUUGUGGAGCAAAAAGUAAUCCAAAAAAUUAUGGACACGUAGACUAUUUUAUCUCAAGAAAGACAAGAAUGCUCACAUUAAAUGGGCAAGGUAUACAAAUACUCCCUCGCGCAACUCAGCAUCCCUGGAGGUCCAAGCAACUAACCACAACUCCUCAAAACUCCCUACUCAUCGCAUGGAAAAGUCAAAGACAUUAAAGAUAGGAUUAAUUACUAAAUCUUAUUUUUAAUACAUUCCUAAUUGAAGUUCAACUGCAUCAAGUAAGGAAGCCUAUCACAAUCAAUCAUUGAUGCUUCCAUCAUCAGCCCAAGAUAUUAUCUCCUAAUUAAUCAUGGAUACUUCCUCAUGCAUCCAGCAGAUGCUUCCUCAUUCAUCCAACGGAUGACACACCUUGGUCAAUCAGAUACCUUUACCCUAUUGCCGGCCACUCCUCCCUAUAAAUACCUCAUCUCCACCAAAUUUCUGAUAAACUUUUGCUAAACACUUAAGCCCUAACUCACUCACUUCUUUAGAGUUACUGACUUAGGCAUCAGAGUUCCAUUGGCUAAACUCCUCCCCCCAUGAGCGCGUGUGGCUUUGGCCUUGAUCAAAGGAAUUUACAAUUUACAAGAUUCGAACUUAAGACUUCUUACUUACAAGUGAAGAUGAAUACCACUAGAUGGUAGUACUAAAUGGCAGGGCUUUUCCUUAUUGAAUGAGAAUUUUUGCCGAAACCCUUUCAUUUACUAGCUCAUAAAAAAUUAAGAAUGUUUUGGUUUUUUUUUAAAUUUUUUUUUUAAUUUAUUUGCCUUAUGUAACAUGGUGGGAUUACUUAGCUACUAUGUUCACAAAAGCAAUAAUUGUAAACGGACCGAAACAGUUGGGAAAUGUUUAAGUACCUAAAAGAGCCAACUAUAUUAGAAUAAUUAUGUUGAAGUUGAGUCGUAUAGUUUCUCAUCUGUGGCUCACAAAGACUAAGAUACACAAUAUAAGCAAGAAAACAAACGCUAAUUUAGGAUAGAAUGACAUUAUCACAUGUCGCCAAGAAAAAAAAAAAUCUCUUAUACAUAAUUCGUUCCAACAAAAUUGCAAAACAUCCUACAUGAGAACUACGCGCUUACUAGUGUCUAGUUCUUAAGUUUCUUGGUGCUUUCGUUCCUUUUUUUUUAACUUCUACAGACCAUUUUCAUUCUAUUAUUUCCUUAAGAAUCGUGGGUUUGAAUUUGUAACUUCUUUCAUUAUUGGAAUGAGAAAUUUCAUUAAACUAUAUUCUAACUGGAAAAUUGAUGAAAGUACUUAAUAGGUUAAGAACACAACCUUUUUUUUUUUUUUUUUUUUUUUUAUCACAAAAGCAGUUGAAAUAAAAUUUUACAUAUAAUUUUUAAGUGUGAACAUCUUAAAAAAAUAUCAGAGAGUUAAAAUGUAUAAAAGUAAGAUAUUGACAAUAAUCAAAUUUUGAAAGGCAACAUAAUUCGCAAUAAUGAAGGUCAUCCCUGACUAUUGGGAGAUCCUUAUUCUGUGCAAGGCAGUUGUCUCCUCAUCUAUUAAGAUUGUUGCCUACUUGUAUGCAUUAUUAAAGUCUCUCGCUAUCACUGAUUAAGUGAUCAAAGAAAGUUUCCUACUUCAUAAUUCAUAUAUUGCAGGACCUCAACGAUCUCCUAAGUUCUCUAUUAGUUCAUACUAAUUAUGAUUGCUCUAAAUUAGAGAGCAUUAUCGGAGUACAAAUUUUUUAUAGGAGCUUCCAAGAUAAUUAGUUAAAAUAUGAUUAAGAGGAGUUGAAUAUCAGAGUGCGCAACGAAUAAGACUAACAAAAUAAGAAUAUUAUUAAACAAACGAGAAUGCCGAAACGGCUAUAAAACCCUAAGAGACUACAUUGUGAAUGACUUAUUCUCAAACUAAAUUACAAGCUCUAUUUAUAGAGCAAUAAACCUAAGAAACCCUAAUGCAUAAAUGCCAAAAAUACCCUACUACAAAAUCAAAUCAAAUCUCUAAUUAAUUUCCUAAAUAAACCUAAUAAAUUCCAACCACCCUCCUGUCAAACUCAUGGCGGUACACGACAUGGGUUUGCCAAAGUGAUGUGGAUGCAAGCUCCGUUAUACUAUCUUUCGAUGCCAAUUCCAAUACGAAAUUUCAUCGAUGCAAGUGCAAGAUCCCAAAUUCCAGUGCCAGUGCCAAUGCCAAUGCAAGAUUCCAAUGCCAGUGCCAGUGCAAGAUUCCAUGCAAGUGCCAAUGCAAGAUUCCAUGCCAGUGCCAGUGCAAAAUUUCCAUGCCAGUGCAAAAUUUUCAUGCUAGUGCAAAUUCCAACUUCCGAACAAACUCAUUGUGGGCCUCCAAACCAGGCGCAACAGCAGCUUCAAACAACCAAGCUUUUCAUGCCCGUGUGGGCUAAAACCUCAACUUUUCAAUUUUUUUCUUCCUUUUCCUCCUUUUCUCGUAUUUUUGCUUCUAUCUUGCGAAUUGGAUCUUCCUCAUUUUGUUUAAAAAUCAUGAAGGAAUAGAUGUGAUGCAGGUAGAGGUCAGAGUGCAGUUGCGGUGCCGCAGUGGGUGUAGACGGUUCAGUUUUUCUUUCUUUUUUUCUUUUCCUUGCAAACAAUCAAUACCAACUAACAAAUCUAAAACAAACGACAACAAAGGCAAACAAAUUGAUACCAACGAGAACGGAUUGAACCCUAAGGAUCGAACCCGCUCUGCUACCAAGUUGAAUAUCAGAGUGCGCAACGAAUAAGACUAACAAAAUAAGAAUAUUAUUAAACAAACGAGAAUGCCAAAACGGCUAUAAAACCCUAAGAGACUACAUUGUGAAUGACUUAUUUUCAAACUAAAUUACAAGCUCUAUUUAUAGAGCAAUAAACCUAAGAAACCCUAAUGCAUAAAUGCCAAAAAUACCCUACUACAAAAUCAAAUCAAAUCUCUAAUUAAUUUCCUAAAUAAACCUAAUAAAUUCCAACAAGAGGUAGAUUGUCUUAGUGGUUAGGGUUUUUCUCUUCAAUUCACAGCAUUUUAAGUUCAAACUCCCUACUGUAUAUUACUAUAGAAUAUCACUUUAUAAUAUAUAUAUAUAUAUAUAUAUAUACAUAUAUAUAAAUGAAGAGGAUGAAGGAUUAGGUGGGUCAAACUAAUCAAAGAAAGAACCAAGAGCAAUGAGAAAUGACCAAGACCCGAGAUUUAGCCACAAAUAAAAAAGUAGGCUACUUCUAUUCCGCUUAAAGCGAUUAGAAAUGACUAACUUCUUGAUAAAACAACCCCCAUGUCCCCUAUCUCUGAAAUUUUGUUUAAUUAAUAUACAAGCAAAGGUACGAAACUAUGUCCCGUAAAGAGAACAAAAAAAAAAAAAAUCAACGAAAACAAAAAAAAUGACAAAAUGAAAUGUCAUCAGCAUGAGCGGCAGAUGCAAAAUUUGAAAUAUUGUGAACCACCAAUAAUAAGCAUUGUGAGCCUAACGCAUUGACAACCUGAUUACUCUCCCUACAAGACACUUGUAUUAAAAAUUAGUUCAGGUACAAAACAAUACAACAAUAAUGGUCUUGGUCUUGUUUCGAAUGAGCAUCAUAAAUACUGUUCUUUAUUCUUGAAGAAACUUGUAAGAUUCAUAAGAGCAAGGACGCAAGAAUUUGAGAAUCUUUUCCCAAGAAACCCAAUUGUGAUAUAAAUGGAAGCAUAUAUUAGCUGUUGUAAGUAAAUAUAAUUCAGUUCACUGAAAACAUUAAGCUACCACAAACCUCUCAUUUGUAGAAUAUGUUCUCAAUAAUCCUCUCUAAUAAUUGAGCAGCAAAGUAAAAGAUAUUUGAUAUAAAUCUAAGACACAUUUUCAUAUGUUUGGUAUCAAAACAACAAA